UCAACCCAGAUGGGACCUUACAGGAUAGAGGAGUGAAAAUGUUAAAAAAAACUUCACAGUGGAGGGAGUCAAUCCAAGCAUCAGGGCUGAAGUUUGGCCUUUCCUUCUUGGAGUAAAAGAGUAUGAGAAACUAAGACGUCUACACUGCAAGCUUGUAGAGCGCUAU